UACAGAGGUCUCAAGCGUUGUUCGGAUUCAUUGGGCGUAAAGGGUGCGUAGGCGGCUUUCUAAGUCAGGGGUGAAAUCCUGGAGCUCAACUCCAGAACUGCCUUUGAUACUGGAGGGCUUGAGUCCGGAAGAGGUGAGUGGAACUCCGAGUGUAGAGGUGAAAUUCGUAGAUAUUCGGAAGAACACCAGUGGCGAAGGCGGCUCACUGGUCCGGUACUGACGCUGAGGUGCGAAAGCGUGGGGAGCAAACAGG
rnacentral:rRNA from 1 species